rnacentral:miRNA from 1 species
GAACAGUGCAAAUAACUUGUAUCUUUAUCUUCCACUAUCUCAAUUCCUGCAUUUGUCCUAGCCUCAUUUUAACAGAUGCAGGAAUUGAGAUAGUGGAAGAUAAAGAAAGUUAGAAUUAGGUU